GUAGGUGGCAAGCGUUGUCCGGAAUUAUUGGGCGUAAAGCGCGCGCAGGCGGUUUUUUAAGUCUGAUGUGAAAGCCCACGGCUCAACCGUGGAGGGUCAUUGGAAACUGGAGAACUUGAGUACAGAAGAGGAAAGCGGAAUUCCACGUGUAGCGGUGAAAUGCGUAGAGAUGUGGAGGAACACCAGUGGCGAAGGCGGCUUUCUGGUCUGUAACUGACGCUGAGGCACGAAAGCGUGGGGAGCAAACAGGGAUUAGAUACCCUGGUAGUCCACGCCGUAAACGAUGAGUGCUAAGUGUUAGGGGGUUUCCCGCCCCUUAGUGCUGCAGCUAACGCAUUAAGCACUCCGCCUGGGGAGUACGGCCGCAAGGCUG
rnacentral:rRNA from 1 species